GGUCGAAGGAAGUUCCCGUGGGGGGAGAACAAGUGAACAGCCCCAAGUCUGGCGUGGUGAGAAGAGGAAAAGAUCCGCCAGGGUGGGAAGCUGGCCGCCGCAGAUCACGUCAUGGUGCUGUACCAGAUACGCCAUGUGAAAUUGUGAAAGCAAAUCACUGGACUUCCUCGACGAGUGAUGACGGCCGAUGACUCCUUUCUGGCACUAUGCCAGCCAGCCACUGCCUCAUAUCCCUCCAGCCUCCUUCUUUAGGUUGCCUGCCAGCCAUGAACCUGUGAUUACAUAUUUUAGAGUGAAGAAAUCUGAGUCUGGAGACCUUUGAGUCACAGAUCUUCUUGUUCGCGAAAGUAAGGAGACCAAACUUUAUAAUGAUGACAAAGUACAAGUAUGGUCCUCACAAGGGUAGUCUUUCAAGAUGAAGCACAACUUGUGCAUCAAAAUCUUUCGAGAAAGGAAAAUCAAGUAAGGAUAAAAGUGUGAAAAGAGAGCAUCUUUAGAUUAUGUUUUCAAAUAGUUUCAAUGCUAUUCUUUCAGGCUAAGAGGUAGAUGUAUAGGCGUUGUGGGCAAAAUGUACGUUUUCUCCAAUUGGGUGUUAGUCAUCCCUUCUGAUUGAGCUAUUGAAGGGAUCGGUUGACCUAUCAACUUGCUAUUAAUGCGCAAAGUGGCAGUUCAAUUACUUGAGAAGUACGAGUAAUCUACUUAUCCACUGACCAUCCCUUUGGGGUUGAUCAUCUAGGAAAGAAAGCCCAAAGUUAUUUGAAGCUUUGAUUUUUCUCUUUUGUGCCAUGUUAUGAUGAAAUACUUGUUGAAAACAUAACUCAAAACUCAAAAUCUUUAGUCAUUGUUAUCAUUGAAAUAUAAUUAAGGAAACUUUGUUUCUAACAA